rnacentral:other from 1 species
AGUUCCCUGAGGUGUUGGCCAGUUGGUAUCGUCCUCGAGCCUAUAAAGACCAACCCGGGGGYUUCUCGUUUAUGCCGUUGCGCACGUCCGCCCGCCGGAAAGCCUGAAGCGUAACAGAGACCGCCACCUUGAACCUAAAGGUUCAAGGACCUAAUCAACAGCGGCAUUUUGGGGAACUG